UACGUAGGGUGCGAGCGUUGUCCGGAAUUAUUGGGCGUAAAGGGCUCGUAGGCGGUUUGUCGCGUCGGGAGUGAAAACCCAGGGCUUAACCCUGGGCUGGCUUUCGAUACGGGCAGACUAGAGGUAUGCAGGGGAGAACGGAAUUCCCGGUGUAGCGGUGAAAUGCGCAGAUAUCAGGAGGAACACCGGUGGCGAAGGCGGUUCUCUGGGCAUUACCUGACGCUGAGGAGCGAAAGUGUGGGGAGCGAACAGG
rnacentral:rRNA from 1 species